CUCAUAGUGUGAAAGCAGCCUUAAACAGCACCAAUCUAAGCAAGUUAAAGGCAGCAGUAUAACGUAGCGACUGAGCAGUAUGUUCGGAUACAGCUGAAGAAAGAAAUGUCUACACAGGAAACAAAGAAACAAGAAUUCCAGAGAUCCUGGGGAUGAGCAAGGGACAGGAAGCAAUGGAUACGCGCCAUUCAUUUCCAGGAGGAACUAAACAAACCAUGAAAUCCAG